GGUGUUCCCCAGCUUGGUUGCUUGGUUGUGUCAUAAAGGAGAGAGGCAGGAGCACCUGGCCCAAGAUAGUAUCAGGGUGGCCUCUAGAACAGGAUGAGAGCGGUAGAACAACAAGGUCCGAUUGGCAUUGGCUUAUGACCUCACCCUGCUGGCAGCUAAUUCAGUGCUGUUAAAAAUUAUAGUUCAAGUAAACUAUGAAGAUAAAGCUUCUGUCUCAAAGACCGACCAACUACCAGCAGAUACCCGCAACCAACCGUUUCUCCUCAUCAUCAUUAUUACAGAGUAAAAGACAGUCAGGAACAUCUGGUUGCACAAGCCCACUGACCUCUGGCUACAGCGGAUUGGACAGGUGGCUCAAGAUGAAGCAAUCAAAAUUGCAGCCCUGGUAAUUUGGAAAUGCGACUGAAUGGACUGGCAUGAAAAGAGUCUGGUGAGAAGAGACAGAGUGGAGACUGAGCAACUGUGCAAAGAGAAAAUGUAACAUGAAAAGAGUGGGAAUGACUUUUCAGGCCCUGUUUGGUAUCUUCUUGUUGCCCAGCUGAUCUUUUAUCCUUAGAUCCAAGAAAAUUUCAGCUGCUUGCCCCCGAAAAGCCAACAUGGUGAAGAUUGAAGCCAGGGUGAAGCCAACAUGGUGAGGACACCACAGUCGGUUUUAUAAAAACAAAUUCACCAUAAAAAUGUUGUGUCUGCUUUAGCACAAACUGCUCUGUGGUUUGGUUUCAUGUGAUGAUAAAUGAUUUGCUCUUCAGCUAGAAACUGUGUGUAAAUGACAAGGUUUCCAGAAGAUGCAAACAGAGAAAAAGAAGUGAGAAACCCUCAUCUUUGUGGCAUCCUCUGAAAGGAGAGAGGGCUUGUGUGAUGGAAGGGCAAUUGCAGUGAGCAGAGGCACCCUGGCCAGGGACCCAUAGAAUAUAAAAUGACUGGUUGUGAGAUAUGAGUUCAGGAGCAGCAGAGUGAAUCUCCUCAGGUGAUGGAUCAUUAUGCUGAAAUCAAUCUUUACAGUGGAAGACAAAGUUAGCCAAAAUGAAAUAUUUCCUUGAACAAGAGGUUUAAAUUGUAGUAGGCCACUCUACGGAUAGUGACAAUCAAUAUCAACUUAGUUGAAGACCCUCUCAGCCAGACCUCAUUAAACCUGAUACCAAUGAGGGACUAAAGUCCAGUUGCCACGGAUGAGAGUUUAACGUUGCCACAAUCAUGCCAAAUCAAAUGUCCUUUAUCAGCAGAGGAAUGGGUUGAAAUAUGUAGGCUUCUCAGCAACGCAACCAGCUAUUAAGUAUCUCUCAAUGUGUCCACCAAGGUGUGAACAUCAAAAGCCCAGCAGGAGCUAUUUAUAUUUGAAGAUUAUUAGACAGUAGCUGCACAGAAGGCUUGCCUCAGAAAAUGCUGUCCCUGACCAGACAGUCCUAUGGUAAAACCCCGGAAACUACUGAGCCCUCCAGAGUCAUUUCCAUUUUUACAAGGAUCUGCAGCUCUGUGUGGAGCGUCGUCCUUCCCACCAUGUAGCCCUGGACAGAGUGGGAGGAAGAGUGGACCCCAAGGGCAGGGGAUAGGUGAACAUCACUUACUUUUGUGUCUGUCAACAGACCCACCUGCUAUUCCGUAACAACUGCUUUUCAAGUGAAGUGAAGCUAGUGUGUACAGUUCACACGUGCGUACUAAGACAUGUGCAAAAACAUCUGGGGAAGCUCAGCCUCAGCAAAAGCUAUGAGUCCGCUCUGGCAUCCUGGUCUUACUGGAAUAAUGGCCAUAAGUUUGUGCUGGGGUGAGUCUGCCAAAAGAGAGAGGUUAUAAGGCCUAGAGCACUGUUUUCCAAACUAAACUCAACAGGGUGUUAGUAUGUGUGAGGAGAUAAAAGGAUUACACAGGCAAUGUUGGUGAGAUAUUGAGCUAAACAAGUUAAAUGAACAAUUAAAGUGUAUGCAUGUGAUAUUCAUGAAUACAGUAUAUAUCUGUAGAUCUACACACACACAGUAUAAAGAGCAAUAGAGGGCCGGGGAUUUAGCUCAGUGGUUCCGCCGCCUGCCUCGCAAGCGCAAGGACCUGAGUUCGAUCCCUGGUCCCCCCCCCCAAAAAAAGAGCAAUAGAAAUCCACAUUAAUAAACACAUUACCAAUCUUAGCAAGCCUGCUGGUUGCUUCUUUCUGGAUUUAGCCUCCCAUUUCACCCCAAGGCGAG
ensembl:lncRNA